CAGCAGCCGCGGUAAUACCUGCAGCCCAAGUGGUGGUCGAGUUUAUUGAGUCUAAAACGUUCGUAGCCGGUUCGGUAAAUCUUUGGGUAAAUCGGGGGGCUUAACCUUCCGACUUCCGAGGAGACUGCCGAACUUGGGACCGGGAGAGGCUAGAGGUACUUCUGGGGUAGGGGUAAAAUCCUGUAAUCCUAGAAGGACCACCGGUGGCGAAGGCGUCUAGCUAGAACGGAUCCGACGGUGAGGGACGAAGCCCUGGGUCGCAAACGGGAUUAGAUACCCCGGUAGUCCAGGGUGUAAACGCUGCAGACUUGGUGUUGGGGGCCCUUUGGGGGCAUUCAGUGCCGGAGAGAAGUUGUUAAGUCUGCUACUUGGGGAGUACGUCCGCAAGGAUGAAACUUAAAGGAAUUGGCGGGGGAGCACCGCAACGGGAGGAGCGUGCGGUUUAAUUGGAUUCAACACCGUAAAACUCACCAGGGAAGACUGUUACAUGAAGGCCGAGAUGAAGACUCUGCUAGAUUUUCAGAGAGGAGGUGCAUGGCC
rnacentral:rRNA from 2 species